rnacentral:snoRNA from 1 species
UGCCUUUAUGUGUUGCCCAUUCAUCCCCUCUGUGGUGACUGGGGUGUCAACUAAGGCAAACAGUAACAGCUGUAGUUGUUUGUGAAAUGAGAUUUUUCCUUUUCUCAUCUUUAAAACAGCUGCAAGGACACAU